ACUAACGAGGAUUCCCCUAGUAACUGCGAGUGAAGCGGGAAAAGCUCAAAUUUGAAAUCUGGCAGUCCUCUGGCUGUCCGAGUUGUAAACUASAGAAGUGUUACCCGCGUUGGACCGUGUACAAGUCUCCUGGAAUGGAGCGUCAUAGAGGGUGAGAAUCCCGUCUUUGACACGGACUACCAAGGCUUUGUGGUACGCUCUCAAAGAGUCGAGUUGUUUGGGAAUGCAGCUCAAAAUGGGUGGUAAAUGCCAUCUAAAGCUAAAUAUUGGCGAGAGACCGAUAGCGAACAAGUACCGUGAGGGAAAGAUGAAAAGAACUUUGGAAAGAGAGUUAAACAGUACGUGAAAUUGCUGAAAGGGAAACGCUUAAAGUCAGUCGCGUCGGCUUGGAAUCAACCUUGCUUUUGCUGGGUGUACUUCCUUGUCGAUGGGUCAACAUCAGUUUUGACCGGUGGAUAAAGUCAGUCGGAAUGUGGCUCCCUCGGGAGUGUUAUAGCCUUCUGUCGCAUGCAUCGGUUGGGACUGAGGACCGCAGCACGCCGUUAAGGCCUGGUUUCGACCAAGUUCGUGCUUAGGAUGUUGGCAUAAUGGCUUUAAUCGACCCGUCUUGAAACACGGACCAAGGAGUCUAACAUGCCUGCGAGUGUUUGGGUGGUAAACCCUUGCGCGUAAUGAAAGUGAAAGUUGAGAUCCCUGUCGUGGGGAGCAUCGACGCCCAGACCAGAGCUUUUGUGACGGAUCUGCGGUAGAGCAUGUGUGUUGGGACCCGAAAGAUGGUGAACUAUGCCUGAAUAGGGUGAAGCCAGAGGAAACUCUGGUGGAGGCUCGUAGCGAUUCUGACGUGCAAAUCGAUCGUCAAAUUUGGGUAUAGGGGCGAAAGACUAAUCGAACCAUCUAGUAGCUGGUUCCU
rnacentral:rRNA from 1 species